rnacentral:rRNA from 1 species
AGAGUUUGAUCCUGGCUCAGGACGAACGCUGGCGGCGUGCUUAACACAUGCAAGUCGAACGAUGACGACGGGGCUUGCCUCGUCUGAUUAGUGGCGAACGGGUGAGUAACACGUGAGUAACCUGCCCCAGACUCUGGGAUAACUCCGGGAAACCGGAGCUAAUACCGGAUACGACAUUUGGCCGCAUGGUCGGGUGUGGAAAGUUUUUUCGGUUUGGGAUGGGCUCGCGGCCUAUCAGCUUGUUGGUGAGGUAGUGGCUCACCAAGGCGACGACKGGUAGCCGGCCUGAGAGGGCGACCGGCCACACUGGGACUGAGACACGGCCCAGACUCCUACGGGAGGCAGCAGUGGGGAAUAUUGCACAWUGGGCGAAAGCCUGAUGCAGCGACGCCGCGUGAGGGAUGACGGCCUUCGGGUUGUAAACCUCUUUCAGCAGGGAAGAAGCGCAAGUGACGGUACCUGCAGAAGAAGCACCGGCUAACUACGUGUCWGCAGCCGCGGUAAUACGUAGGGUGCGAGCGUUGUCCGGAAUUAUUGGGCGUAAAGAGCUUGUAGGCGGUUUGUCGCGUCUGCUGUGAAAAUCCGGGGCUCAACUCCGGACUUGCAGUGGGUACGGGCAGACUAGAGUGUGGUAGGGGAGACUGGAAUUCCUGGUGUAGCGGUGGAAUGCGCAGAUAUCAGGAGGAACACCGAUGGCGAAGGCAGGUCUCUGGGCCACUACUGACGCUGAGAAGCGAAAGCAUGGGGAGCGAACAGGAUUAGAUACCCUGGUAGUCCAUGCCGUAAACGUUGGGCGCUAGGUGUGGGACCCAUUCCACGGGUUCCGUGCCGCAGCUAACGCAUUAAGCGCCCCGCCUGGGGAGUACGGCCGCAAGGCUAAAACUCAAAGGAAUUGACGGGGGCCCGCACAAGCGGCGGAGCAUGCGGAUUAAUUCGAUGCAACGCGAAGAACCUUACCAAGGCUUGACAUGCACCGGACACCUCCAGAGAUGGGGGCUCCUUUUGGGCUGGUGCACAGGUGGUGCAUGGUUGUCGUCAGCUCGUGUCGUGAGAUGUUGGGUUAAGUCCCGCAACGAGCGCAACCCUCGUUCCAUGUUGCCAGCAGCACCUUCGGGUGGCUGGGGACUCAUGGGAGACUGCCGGGGUCAACUCGGAGGAAGGUGGGGAUGACGUCAAAUCAUCAUGCCCCUUAUGUCUUGGGCUUCACGCAUGCUACAAUGGCCGGUACAAAGGGUUGCGAAGCCGUGAGGUGGAGCGAAUCCCAAAAAACCGGUCUCAGUUCGGAUUGGGGUCUGCAACUCGACCCCAUGAAGUCGGAGUCGCUAGUAAUCGCAGAUCAGCAACGCUGCGGUGAAUACGUUCCCGGGCCUUGUACACACCGCCCGUCAAGUCACGAAAGUCGGUAACACCCGAAGCCGGUGGCCCAACCCUUGUGGGGGGAGCCGUCGAAGGUGGGACUGGCGAUUGGGACUAAGUCGUAACAAGGUAACCG